GCCAGGCGGGAUGGCGCGUGCCUGUAGUCCCAGCUACUCAGGAGGCUGAGGUGGGAGGAUCGCUUGAGCCCAGGAGUUCUAGGCUGCAGUGUGCUGUGCCGAUCGGGUGUCCGCACUAAGUUCGGCAUCAGUAUGGUGACCUCCUGGGAGCAGGGGACCACCAGGUUGCCUAAGGAGGGGUGAACCAGACCAGGUCAGAAACGAGAGCAGGUCAAAACUCCCGUGCUGAUCAGUAAUGGCAUUCUGCCUGUGAAUAGCCACUCUACUCCAGCCUGGGCAACAUAGCGAGACCCUAUCUCU
rnacentral:SRP_RNA from 1 species